rnacentral:lncRNA from 1 species
AGGGUAGAACUCUAUGCCAAAUUCAUCUAGACUAGCAGUCCCACAUGUAUUCUGACUUCCCUGUAAUUUUUUUUUUCUGUAUGUCAUCAAACUAGUUUAAUAACAUACCUGUUCCAAUUAGGUGAGAGAAACUUUUUAUGUAUUCAGUUGCAGCCUGUGGCAGAGUGGGGCUGUUUAAAUUAUGGCUGUCCCAACAACAGGAGUGGUAAGCUACAGCUUGGGCCACCAGGUGGAUAAGGCAGAUGAAGCAACUGAGGCUGAAGUGACAGUAAUGGUGAGU